AGCGAACGCUGGCGGCAGGCUUAACACAUGCAAGUCGAACGCAUCCUUCGGGAUGAGUGGCAGACGGGUGAGUAACGCGUGGGAACGUGCCCUUUGGUUUGGGAUAACCCAGGGAAACUUGGGCUAAUACCGGAUAAGCCCCGAGGUUUAGCGAUCUUGGGGGAAAGAUUUAUCGCCGAAGGAUCGGCCCGCGUCCGAUUAGCUAGUUGGUGAGGUAACGGCUCACCAAGGCGACGAUCGGUAGCUGGUCUGAGAGGAUGAUCAGCCACACUGGGACGGAGACACGGCCCAGACUCCUACGGGAGGCAGCAGUGGGGAAUAUUGGACAAUGGGGGCAACCCUGAUCCAGCCAUGCCGCGUGAGUGAUGAAGGCCCUAGGGUUGUAAAGCUCUUUCGGCGGGGACGAUAAUGACGGUACCCGCAGAAGAAGCCCCGGCUAACUUCGUGCCAGCAGCCGCGGUAAGAC
rnacentral:rRNA from 1 species